rnacentral:misc_RNA from 1 species
GUCAAAUCCACCCAAAUCUAAAAUUUUCAAAUCGAAAUUAAGCUUAUAAUUCUCUAUUUGCCAUUUAAAUUGCUGACUUUUUAAAUCACAUUGUAACUCCUCUCAUCAACUACUGUGAUAGCAGUAUAUGGUGUAUUCACCAACUCUAAUUUCAACUCUUGAGCAAUUCUUUUAUCAAGAAAACUAGUUGUACUACCAUUG